CCCCUCAACUAUAUACAAUUAUGAAAUUGCCUUCUCAACUCUUUUUUUUUAAAAAAAAUAAAUUUCAAAUACCACUUCUAUAAGUUAAUACUUUUUUUAUUUCAAUAUUUUAUAAUUUAAAGUGUAACACUUUAGUACUCUAUAAUUUUAUUUCACUUUUUAUAUAAGCACCUUCAUUAACUCUCCGUCAAAUCAUAAAUAAAAAAUUUUAAAUAGCUCACAUAUGAUUUAUUGAAUAUUCAUUUUAGUACUAUGUGGUUAUAGAGUUUUUAUUUUAGUAUCCUGUGAUUUUAAUUUUAUCAUUGAUAUAACGAAAAAAUGAGUAUAUUUGAACUUUUUUUCAUUUUUAUUGAGAUCUUCUCAACUUCUAAUUUUUUUAAUUUAAUUAAAUUACAAAUUUUAUAAAUAUUAAUGACCCCAUUAGUUAUAAAUUAUUAAUUAAUCUAAUUUUAUUUAUAAAAAAAUAAUUCAAAUUAUUAAAUUUUAUAAAAUUAUAAAUAUAUUUAAUAAAAUUUUCAAAUUGUUUAACUAAAAUUACUUAAUUCUAU
rnacentral:lncRNA from 1 species